AAUUAAGACAGGAAAUUCAGUCUUUUGUACCCCUACAUAGACUAGCUAUUGAAUAAAGGCUGUCCCAGGGAAGGAAUAUUAUCCAAGUACAAUAGUACAAGAUAUUAAAACCAUGCUUCUGAUUAGGCUAACCAAAAUGUAUUUUCCAUUCAUUUGUGAUCUGGGAAGACAUAAAUGACAUUUUGUAAGACCCCAUGGAGAUAAAAGUCAAUAAAAGGGGACGAGUGUAAUUUAGUGUUGAUGAGUCUAAGUGUUGAAGUCAGAGAGACCAAGGUUUCAAUUCUGGUUUUACUCUUUAGUAACCCCAUGACAUUGCUGAAUUUACUUAGACCCUUUGAACCUCAGUUUA
rnacentral:lncRNA from 10 species